rnacentral:lncRNA from 1 species
UGAGCCACAUGAGAAUCUGAUUACUGGUGGUGUAUUUCAGAGGUAGUCUCUAUACGACCUACUUGGUGUGAUCCUCGAUUGAUUGUAGUAGAGGUACCAAGAAUCUGUGUAUUGAUUCUGAUGAUCUAGUGAGCAUUUGAGAGCACUGAUCUCUUCCCGGACAGUAGGAAACGAAGUCGGGAUUAACAAAACUUUGUGUUGAUUACGUUUUUCGUUUUCGUAUAAUCUGCAAACAAACAAGAGGAAGCCAAGAUCAAUAUCAAGCAAUCUCAUCGAAUUAAAUCAUGAAUAAACACUAACAAGUGGUAUCAGAGCACAAGGUUAUUGUGCAGGAGCUGAUUGCGAGUGAUCAUGAUCUAAGGCGCUAAAGAUCCUAUAUGUUUUGUGGAUCUGUGUGUUGGAUCGAGCUCGGAUCUUGAUGGAGUCGGUUACGAGGUUUGAGAUGGAGAAGUUCGAUGGUAAAGGAGACUUUGGGAUGUGGAAAUUCAAAAUGCUGA